CAUGGUUGUCGUCAGCUCGUGUCGUGAGAUGUUGGGUUAAGUCCGCAACGAGCGCAACCCUUAUCCUUAGUUACCAGCACGUAAAGGUGGGGACGUCUAGGGAGACCGCCGGGGACGACUCGGAGGAAGGUGGGGACGACGUCAAAUCAUCAUGCCCCUUAUGUCUUGGGCUACACACGUGCUACAAUGGCCGCAACAGAGGGAAGCGAGAGCGCAAGCUGGAGCAAAACCCUAAAAAGCGGUCCCAGUUCGGAUUGUGGGCUGCAACCCGCCCACAUGAAGUCGGAGUUGCUAGUAAUCGCGAAUCAGCAUGUCGCGGUGAAUGCGUUCCCGGGCCUU
rnacentral:rRNA from 1 species